rnacentral:rRNA from 1 species
UACGUAGGGGCCGAGCGUUGUCCGGAGUUAUUGGGCGUAAAGCGCGCGCAGGCGGCUUGACGCGCCCGACGUGAAAGCCCCCGGCUUAACCGGGGAGGGUCGUCGGGUACGGUCAGGCUUGAGGGCGGGAGAGGGUGGUGGAAUUCCCGGUGUAGUGGUGAAAUGCGUAGAGAUCGGGAGGAACACCUGUGGCGAAGGCGGCGACCUGGGCCAAUACUGACACUGAGGUGCGAAAGCGUGGGGAGCAAACAGG